rnacentral:rRNA from 1 species
UCUACAGGCUUAACACAUGCAAGUCGAGGGGCAGCAUGGUCUUAGCUUGCUAAGGCCGAUGGCGACCGGCGCACGGGUGAGUAACGCGUAUCCAACCUGCCUUACACUCUUGGACAGCCUUCUGAAAGGGAGAUUAAUACAAGAUGUUAUCAUGAGUAAGCAUUUUCGCAUGAUUAAAGGUUUACCGGUGUAAGAUGGGGAUGCGUUCCAUUAGAUAGUAGGCGGGGUAACGGCCCACCUAGUCUUCGAUGGAUAGGGGUUCUGAGAGGAAGGUCCCCCACAUUGGAACUGAGACACGGUCCAAACUCCUACGGGAGGCAGCAGUGAGGAAUAUUGGUCAAUGGACGAGAGUCUGAACCAGCCAAGUAGCGUGAAGGAUGAAGGUUCUAUGGAUUGUAAACUUCUUUUAUACGGGAAUAAACGGAUCCACGUGUGGAUUUUUGCAUGUACCGUAUGAAUAAGGAUCGGCUAACUCCGUGCCAGCAGCCGCGGUAAUACGGAGGAUCCGAGCGUUAUCCGGAUUUAUUGGGUUUAAAGGGAGCGUAGAUGGGUUGUUAAGUCAGUUGUGAAAGUUUGCGGCUCAACCGUAAAAUUGCAAUUGAUACUGGCAGUCUUGAGUACAGUUGAGGUAGGCGGAAUUCGUGGUGUAGCGGUGAAAUGCUUAGAUAUCACGAAGAACUCCGAUUGCGAAGGCAGCUUACUAACCUGUAACUGACAUUGAUGCUCGAAAGUGUGGGUAUCAAACAGGAUUAGAUACCCUGGUAGUCCACACGGUAAACGAUGAAUACUCGCUGUAGGCGAUAUACAGUCUGCGGCCAAGCGAAAGCAUUAAGUAUUCCACCUGGGGAGUACGCCGGCAACGGUGAAACUCAAAGGAAUUGACGGGGGCCCGCACAAGCGGAGGAACAUGUGGUUUAAUUCGAUGAUACGCGAGGAACCUUACCCGGGCUUAAAUUGCAACCGAAUAUGGCGGAAACGCUAUAGCUAGCAAUAGCGGUUGUGAAGGUGCUGCAUGGUUGUCGUCAGCUCGUGCCGUGAGGUGUCGGCUUAAGUGCCAUAACGAGCGCAACCCUUGCCGAUAGUUACUAACAGGUUAUGCUGAGGACUCUGUCGGGACUGCCAUCGUAAGAUGUUAGGAAGGUGGGGAUGACGUCAAAUCAGCACGGCCCUUACGUCCGGGGCUACACACGUGUUACAAUGGGGGGUACAGAGGGCUGCUACCACGCAAGUGGAUGCCAAUCCCAAAAACCUCUCUCAGUUCGGAUUGAAGUCUGCAACCCGACUUCAUGAAGCUGGAUUCGCUAGUAAUCGCGCAUCAGCCACGGCGCGGUGAAUACGUUCCCGGGCCUUGUACACACCGCCCGUCAAGCCAUGGGAGCCGGGGGUACCUGAAGUGCGUAACCGCAAGGAGCGCCCUAGGGUAAAACUGGUGACU